ACCAUAAAGUGAUGUUUUUGUGUCAGCGUAACUCACUGGGAGAACAAGUUUUGAAUUUAGCCCAAUAUUGAGUGAGAGCCCUGCAGCCAAAAAGUUAUAAUAAGUGUCCAAGUUGCAAUAUUCCAAACUUACCCUUUAAGCCUAAUUAAAGCAUCUUGAUAACACUGAAUUCUUACGGAAACUUCAAGACAAAUCAAUAGUUAAUUUUAACUUUUACAAACUUUUUUCUACCUUUCAUGUCAUCCAACUAAAUCCAAUUAAUGAAGCUAUCAAUAAUUACUUUUAAUGAGUUUCAUAGGAGUUUAUUUGCCAUAAGAGAAUAGGGUUGAUCGGCCCAUUACCAUUGCUGUUCUUUUUUGACUCUAAAUCCACAUGGAGAAAAACAAACCAUGACCUUAGAGUGCCACCAGCACCAUCAUAUUCCCUCAUGAUACUGAGUACACAGGCCAGACAAUGACAACAAUCCAGAUCUUCUUCCAAACAUUGUUUGAAAUCUGUUUCCUCAACUCAAUGAUUUGUGAGCAUGGAUUAAGGAAAAAUCUCUAUACUAUCCUAUACCUUUUAUUUUCCACUACAUUACAUGCAUGUGUGCAUAUCAACAACAACAAAGCAAAGUAUAAAGAAAGAGCGCUGAAACAUGUAACAUCAAACUAUAUAAGAAAUAACAUGCUGAGUAAUACACCUGAAAUAAUACAUUGAAAUGAUAUCAACAGACAACAGUCAUCAUUACGGAUGACUGGUCAUGUAGUGCAGGACAUGCGUAGGUAUACGGAGUAUACCCACUUAUUUUUCAUGGGUAUACCCAUUUUUAAAUCCUCCCUGAUGUGCAUUAUUCAGUAUUUUUAUGCUUGCUGAAUUUUUUCCCCUAGAAUGGCAUAGGGAUGACAAAACUGUCCAGUUUUCAUGAGUAGAUAGAGUAAGGAAUAAGGAAUACUAUACUAAUAAAAUGCAUUAUUAUUUAGUUGUCUUACCCCAGUCUGUGGGCCAGAAUUUAUUGCUUAUCGGUAGUUUUAUAUGUCACUGUUAAUAACACAGGGGUUUUAUCCUUUACUGGACAGCCGCUUAAAAACAAUUUAGACAUGAAUACAGAGUAUACCCACUUCUCCAGGUACCACUACACGAUUAUGGAGUCCUUCUCCUAAUAUAUGAAAACAGUUGACUGUUUUUCUUUUUAAUGCAACCAGAGCUGUCGCAGCAGCUUCACUUCUUGUCAUCUUCAAUAUGUUAUUUUCCGUGCAGGUAGCUAUUCGUCUUCUUCCUAUGGCAGUAAUGCAGACUAGAAUACUUGUAGCCAAACUCAAUGACGCAAAAUCACCAGUUACUGAAAUUGUGCUCCCUUGAUCACUGGGUAGACUUGCAGUCACUUUCAUAGUAAAACACACAUUCUUUUUGAUAUCGCCUUCCUUAAUUUGAUAGGACAGAUCAAGGGAGAAAAAAAGUUUCUCAUACCAGAGGGGUUGCUAAUUAGUGUCUACUGGCAUUCAGACUAGGUUGCCUCAAGCCAGCUGGGCCAGCCACUUUAAUCUAACCUGAGCAGAUACAAUGGAAUUACAUUUUAAAGCUGUGCCAUGCUGCCAAUUAUCAGCCCUUCGCUUGGGAGUAGAUAGGAUUUAAGGAUGCCUUAAACUUGUGGUUCCCAACCUUUUUUCUUAAGGGACUCCUUUUUUAAUCAUUGCCUAAACUGAUGAUUGCCUAAAACUCCUCCUUGGUUUCCCUGUGUCUGUGUUAGGACUCCUCCCACUCUCCUUGAUUACCUGCUCACCUGUCUAACUGCUCAAACCUGCCAGCCAUCAACUCAUCUGCCCUGCAGUAUUUAAACCCUGGUUCUACAUCCACUCUCUGCCCCAUUGUUGCAUCAACAAACCUGAUAGAUCAUGCCCUUCACUGUAGCUACCUGCCCGCUGCCCGUUGCUUCCUGCCUGCCACGCUGCCAGUUCCACUCUUCCUAGGGAGGCUACACCUCACCAUUUCAUUCCCCGGAUUUCCAAUAAAGCCUGUCUUUUGGAAUUGUAACAA